CUGAUAUCUUAACGUUCCUGUUA
rnacentral:piRNA from 1 species